GUGGGGAAUCUUGCGCAAUGGGCGAAAGCCUGACGCAGCCAUGCCGCGUGAAUGAUGAAGGUCUUAGGAUUGUAAAAUUCUUUCACCGGGGACGAUAAUGACGGUACCCGGAGAAGAAGCCCCGGCUAACUUCGUGCCAGCAGCCGCGGUAAUACGAAGGGGGCUAGCGUUGCUCGGAAUUACUGGGCGUAAAGGGCGCGUAGGCGGACAGUUUAGUCAGAGGUGAAAGCCCAGGGCUCAACCUUGGAAUUGCCUUUGAUACUGGCUGUCUUGAGUACGGGAGAGGUGAGUGGAACUCCGAGUGUAGAGGUGAAAUUCGUAGAUAUUCGGAGGAACACCAGUGGCGAAGGCGGCUUACUGGUCCAUUACUGACGCUGAGGUGCGAAAGCGUGGGGAGCAAACAGGAUUAGAAACCCUAGUAGUCC
rnacentral:rRNA from 1 species